AGUGAACGCUGGCGGCAGGCCUAACACAUGCAAGUCGAGCGGCAGCGCGGGGGCAACCCUGGCGGCGAGCGGCGGACGGGCGAGGAAUGCAUCGGAAUCUGCCUCGUUGUGGGGGAUAACGUAGGGAAACUUACGCUAAUACCGCAUACGACCGAGAGGUGAAAGUGGGGGACCGCAAGGCCUCACGCGAUGAGAUGAGCCGAUGCCGGAUUAGCUAGUUGGUGGGGUAAAGGCCCACCAAGGCGACGAUCCGUAGCUGGUCUGAGAGGAUGAUCAGCCACACUGGAACUGAGACACGGUCCAGACUCCUACGGGAGGCAGCAGUGGGGAAUAUUGGACAAUGGGCGCAAGCCUGAUCCAGCCAUGCCGCGUGUGUGAAGAAGGCCUCGG
rnacentral:rRNA from 1 species